CCAAUUCUUGUAAGCCAUGGCGAAUCCACAAGGCUUUGAUUUGAAUAAAGAUGCUGUUGGGCUUGAUCUUAAUGUUCCAGUGCUUGAAGAGGAUGCUAGGGAGGUGCAGCGACUACCUGCUGUAGAGGUUAAUCUACACAACCCGAUUGACUGGGAUGAGCUGCAAGAAGAUCUCUUUGAUUUGAGUAACCCCAUAUAUUUUUAGAGAUUUGCUCCCUAUCAAUUGAUUGAGAUUUUGUUUUUCUGUCAAUCAACAUGGAGAGGCGUCGGAUCGGCGACGAAGGGAACAGAUCGACUUGUGUGUCGGGUCCGCUUCCGCGAUCCGUUUACUUCCUUAGAGGGUAUUCGGAACCCGUGAUGAGCAAAGGAGUUGAAGGUGGGGGAAGCAGUGCCGCGUCGGCUUUGCAGCGGCAACGACGUGGGUUCCGUGAGGCACGGAGAGAUCCCUGCACGGCGGUGGAUCCGCGGACCGCGGAUGUCGGCGCAUGAUCCGCGGUGGCCUUGGCAAAGGAAAACUGCAGUGGUGGCGCGGCUUCCCGGCAAGGGGUGACGGCGUGUCUCCCUGGCGGGCGAGCGUGGGUUCCCCAUGGCGUUAAGUGCCUAAAACUUUACCCCUCAUUUCCUCCCUUUACUGAAUCUUCUCCUUCCGUUUCCUUGUUAAUUUUGCUUCCUAUGAACUGUGUGUGUGAUGCUUCAUAGGUUGCGAGUUCCUAUGGUAGGAAAUGUGAUUUUCUGGAUUUGAUGGUUUGGGAGGAGAUCGAGGUGAUGGGAGAAUCUUGUUCACUCGAAUCUGGUUUGCUGAAUUAAGAAAAAAAUGUUUAGGAUGAAGGACAAAAGCCACAAAGGAAAAUGCGCAUGAGUAUUAACUAUGCAUGUCCAUGACUUUGGAUGAAGUUUCUGCUCUAGUCUUCAGUAACCAUGCUUGUGUGAGUGAUUGUUUGAUUACUUGCUCGCUGCAGCCAUCUCUGAACUCUUGCUUUGUGCUUAAGUAAUAAAAAUAGCAUGAAUGAGGUGACUGUACUACACGUAUUUUAAAAUCUAAUUGUUUUUGUGAUCAUGCUGUAAAUUCAGUAACUUUCUUCUUUUUUUUGUAUUUGUUGGUUUUAACAAAAUAUUGCAUUAUUUUCACCCAGAGUCAUCUUAUUAUGCUUAGAUAGAGUGUAAUCUUAUUUUAUCUUUUAACAAAUCUGCAUGGAAGAUAGAGUGUAAUCUUAUUUUUACAGUAUCAAUUCUUUUUUCAUGUAUGAGCUCGCCUUUUCUUUUAGUACUUGUAUCAUGUGUCUUUAUUAGACCAUUCUUUAGAAGCUUAGCUGCCACUCAAAAAAAAAAAGAACUCACUAGUAGUGUAUAUGAAAUAACACAUUCUGUAAUUUUUUUAUUUAUUAUUCAGCUACCACUUGAAAAAACAUGUGUGUGUGUGUGUGUGUGUGUGUGUGUGUGUGUGUGUGUGUGUGAAGUAGCGGAUGAUUUAACCCAUGCAAGUAGUUUAUACUUUUGAACUUUUGAAGCAUGUAUCCAAAUCCCAAGUGGCAGCUAAGAUUCCUUAUAGUUUUAGUUUUCGAUGUUCUGAGCUGUUAUUUCAUAUGUAUUAUAUUAUUAUUAAGGCAUGUCUUGCUUUAGGAAUAUAAUAUAACUGCCAUGCCAUUUCUUGAGUGUAUACACUAUUACUCUUAACCCGAGUAAUUUAUCAUUUCACCUGAAUUGAAUUAUAUACCACAAAAGGUUUUGUGUGUGUGUUGCUUUGUGAGAUUGAAUAUGUUUAUUGAUAGAUGUGCUUUUUUAUUUUAGGACUUACCAAACUAUAUAUAUUCAAACACAUCAACAUGUUGCUUAAUUGACAUCUGUUUGUUACUAUGAAUGUUUUUUUUUUGAAUUGAAAAGAUAUAGUCUACACCUUCUCAUUAAGGAUAAGAUGAUGCAGAAUGUGGUAGGACUAGGAGGUCACAUGGCAGUAACUUGAGGCCAGGCAGUAGCAGCAUGGAGUCAAUAAGCAGUAUUAUAAUCUCUAGCAAAACUUUAUUGUUAAUUGACAAGACUUCUCUUAGCUGUAAGUCAAAUUAUGCCAUAUUUACUUGAAGGUUAGUUUUCAGACUUGUGGACAUUGCCUGGUUACCGUAGAAAUCAUGGUUUGAUUGUUUGGUGUUAUCUCAUAAACAGAUAGGCAUUUGUGGACAUCAUCGUAGAGAGCCUUUGUCAAUUUCUCUCUACACAAAGAUUGUGAAGGUUUCUUGCUCCCCUUUCAGGUAGGUCAAAUGAUUAACUCAUAAUCUAACUCGAAGAAUAUCUCAUUUGCGGAAACUCUAUUAUGUUAGUUGUAGUUGUAGCAAAUCUUAGCUUAGUUUUUUCUUAAAUAUCUUCUAUAGGGUUUCGAUUGUGACAGCUGCAGUUUAGGAGGUGUAUCUAUGGACGCCAUCUUGUCAGCCACCAGAUGCCCAGAAUGUUUGCUGUUGGUGUAUCAACAAAUAAUAACACAAACCCAUAUAAUUGGUAAAUUUGCUGCCUAUUAUGUAGUCUCAUUGAAUGUGCAUAUGCCACCCAAAAAUUUUAAAUGUAAUUUUUCUAUUUAUUGUUUUUGUUUUGCUAUUUUUUGUUUGUACUCGAGAUGAGAAAAACACACAGACAACUUUUUAUUUGUUCUAUUUUGUCGAUUUUUGUAUGUAUUUUAGUUGUAGAAAAAUAAAACAAUUGUGGCUGAUAUAUGUAGUCUCCUUGUAUGUUCGUAUUUUGCCCCAAAAAUUUUAGGUGUAAUUUUUUAUUUUUUUGUGUUUAUUUUGCUAUUCUUUUGUUUGUACUCAAGUUGACAAAAACAAAGAUACAAAAUAGUAAUCACUGGGCUUAAUGCUUGUACUGGGCCGGUAAUAACAAAUGCAACAUUUUUAGCAGAACUCCAACAGGGACAAAAAUUACCAGGUCUAAUAGCGAGGGCGCCCAAUAGACUGUUUGAUGGCUGUGUAAUAGUCACAUUCGGACCCGGUAACAGCAGAAAAGAAACACAAAAGCUUGCUAGGAUACGUACAACGUGGAUGAAGAAUCACUGGUCCAGGCCGGUGAUUGACAGAUAUGUAUAUAUCAAUCGAUUGACAUGGAGACACUCCCAUAUUUUCAUGCCCCUGAAGAAGGAGAUGAACAGCAUGACUUCCAGGACACUGAAGGAGAGGACAUACAAGAUGUACAUCAAAUGCCAGAUGGAGAUGUACCAUCGAAUUUGCCUUUCCUGAAUCUGAGUGCAAAUGCCCAAAGAGAUGUUCUACCUGAUCUAAAUAUAAUGCCUGGUUUAGAAGACGAUACUAGUGGCUUUGAUCCUGAUAUUGUUCAAGAUAACAGCAGCAACAGCACUUGUCCAGUUAGUACGAGAAAAAGAAAGCAAUAUAGUGAUGAUACAAAGCGAGCUGUAUACGCCAUGCUGUUACAGGGAUCAGAGCAAGGCCGUUUGCCAGAAGGGUUAUCGUUGCAAGUGUCUUUGGCUAUGGAUGUGUCUCUCAGAUCAGUGCAACAUAUAUGGCUACAAGGGCAAAAAGGGGGAGGAAUUCAUGCUGUCGAUGGGUAGUGAAGCUAGAUGGACGAGAGCUUGCGCUGCCUGUUCAUCCUCAUUCGUGCGAACCGGUAGCUUGCCAUCAUCCUCAACAACGAGCAUCUUGUCGCCGAUCUCAUCGCCGUUGCUACCGGAGCGGAUGACCUCGUCGUCGUUGCCGUCGGAGCGGAGGACAUUGUCGCCGUUGCUAUUGCCGUUGGAGCGGAUGACCUCAUCGCCGUUGCCGUCGGACCUCAUCGCCGUCACUAUUGCCAUCAGAGCGGAUGAUCUGGUCGCCGUUGCCUCCGUAGUGGACGACCUCAUCGCCGUUGGAGCAAACUUCAACUCCGGCGGAGGGGCUAGCCAUGGAAGCAGAAAAGAAAAAAGGAGUUGGCUAACGUACGGCCGUACUCAAUUAGGAAGGGCGGAAAGGCAAAUUGUACUAGAUUCCAUAUUUGGUAAUAAAGUAUUCCGAUUAGUACAAUAUGAAAAAAUAGCACCGAUUAUGGCUGAUUUUUCUGACA